rnacentral:rRNA from 1 species
UACGUAGGUGGCAAGCGUUAUCCGGAUUUAUUGGGCGUAAAGGGAACGCAGGCGGUCUUUUAAGUCUGAUGUGAAAGCCUUCGGCUUAACCGGAGUAGUGCAUUGGAAACUGGGAGACUUGAGUGCAGAAGAGGAGAGUGGAACUCCAUGUGUAGCGGUGAAAUGCGUAGAUAUAUGGAAGAACACCAGUGGCGAAAGCGGCUCUCUGGUCUGUAACUGACGCUGAGGUCCGAAAGCGUGGGUAGCAAACAGG